rnacentral:sRNA from 1 species
AGAUUAAGGGCAACUGGAUAAAGCCAGGGGCUGC